rnacentral:rRNA from 1 species
CACGUAGGGUGCGAGCGUUAAUCGGAAUUACUGGGCGUAAAGCGCGCGUAGGCGGCUUUGCAAGUCGAUUGUGAAAUCCCCAGGCUUAACCUGGGAACUGCAUUCGAGACUGCAUAGCUAGAGUAUGGGAGAGGGAAGUGGAAUUUCAGGUGUAGCGGUGAAAUGCGUAGAUAUCUGAAGGAACAUCAGUGGCGAAAGCGACUUCCUGGACCAAUACUGACGCUCAUGUGCGAAAGCGUGGGGAGCAAACAGG